rnacentral:rRNA from 1 species
GGAAUAUUGGACAAUGGGCGAAAGCCUGAUCCAGCAAUGCCGCGUGUGUGAAGAAGGCCUGCGGGUUGUAAAGCACUUUCAGCAGGGCAGAAAAGCUUCGGGCUAAUCUCCCGGAGUCUUGACGUAACCUGAAGAAGAAGCACCGGCUAACUCCGUUCCAGCAGCCGCGGUAAUACGGAGGGUGCGAGCGUUAAUCGGAAUUACUGGGCGUAAAGCGCGCGUAGGCGGCUUGUUAAGUCGGAUGUGAAAGCCCUGGGCUUAACCUGGGAAUUGCAUUCGAUACUGGCAGGCUGGAGUGUGGUAGAGGGUAGUGGAAUUCCCGGUGUAGCGGUGAAAUGCGUAGAUAUCGGGAGGAACAUCAGUGGCGAAGGCGGCUACCUGGACCAGCACUGACGCUGAGGUGCGAAAGCGUGGGGAGCAA